GUGCCAGCAGCCGCGGUAAGACAGAGGUCCCGAGCGUUGUUCGGAUUCAUUGGGCGUAAAGGGUGUGUAGGAGGCUAGGUAAGUCAGGUGUGAAAUCUCACAGCUUAACUGUGAAACUGCGCUUGAUACUGCUUGGCUAGAGGAUCGGAGGGGGUAUCGGAAUUUAUGGUGUAGCAGUGAAAUGCGUAGAUAUCAUAAGGAACACCGGUGGCGAAGGCGGAUACCUGGAAGAUUCCUGACUCUGAAACACGAAAGCCAGGGGAGCAAACGGGAUUAGAAACCCCGGUAGUCC
rnacentral:rRNA from 1 species